AAAAAGGCCAUAAACACACACAGGCUGCAAAUUGCCACCACUCUCCUCCUAGAGACAGAUGACUUGACAAACAUCUGUCUUUUCUGCGGCGAAGAAGAGCAUGAAACUGACAACAAAUGGAUUCAGUGUGAGAUGUGUUUGCGGUGGUUCCACCAGCUCUGCGUGAAAAGCCCACCACCAGAAGACGUGUUUAUUUGUUUCGCUU